rnacentral:rRNA from 1 species
UUCGGAAUUACUGGGUGUAAAGGGCUCGUAGGCGGCCAACUAAGUCAUACGUGAAAUCCCUCGGCUUAACCGGGGAACUGCGUCUGAUACUGGAUGGCUUGAGUUCGGGAGAGGGAUGCGGAAUUCCAGGUGUAGCGGUGAAAUGCGUAGAUAUCUGGAGGAACACCGGUGGCGAAGGCGGCAUCCUGGACCGAUACUGACGCUGAGGAGCGAAAGCCAGGGGAGCAAACGGG